rnacentral:ncRNA from 1 species
AACUGCUGAAGAUAGAACAUGCAGCUAUCGCACCUUUAUGGUUUUAAAGAGAUGUCGGAAACGCCAACCGACCAGCAGUA